rnacentral:tRNA from 1 species
GCGGGUAUGGUGGAAUUGGCAGACACGCAAGAUUUAGGAUCUUGUGCUUUCCGGCGUGCAGGUUCGACCCCUGUUACCCGCACCA